rfam:Triticum aestivum genome assembly, contig: Triticum_aestivum_CS42_TGACv1_scaffold_485505_6AS
AUCAUACUCCCCCUGUCCGAAAAUACUUCUCAUCAAAAUGGAUAAAAGAGGAUGUAUCUAGACGUAUUUUAGUUCUAAAUACAUCUCUUUUUAUUCAUUUUGAUGACAAAUAUUUUUGGACAGAGGAAGUACUUU